rnacentral:rRNA from 1 species
GGUUAAGCGACUAAGCGUACACGGUGGAUGCCCUGGCAGUCAGAGGCGAUGAAGGACGUGCUAAUCUGCGAUAAGCGUCGGUGAGGUGAUAUGAACCGUUAUAACCGGCGAUUUCCGAAUGGGGAAACCCAGUGUGUUUCGACACACUAUCAUUAACUGAAUCCAUAGGUUAAUGAGGCGAACCGGGGGAACUGAAACAUCUAAGUACCCCGAGGAAAAGAAAUCAACCGAGAUUCCCCCAGUAGCGGCGAGCGAACGGGGAGGAGCCCAGAGCCUGAAUCAGUGUGUGUGUUAGUGGAAGCGUCUGGAAAGGCGUGCGAUACAGGGUGACAGCCCCGUACACAAAAAUGCACAUAUUGUGAGCUCGAUGAGUAGGGCGGGACACGUGGUAUCCUGUCUGAAUAUGGGGGGACCAUCCUCCAAGGCUAAAUACUCCUGACUGACCGAUAGUGAACCAGUACCGUGAGGGAAAGGCGAAAAGAACCCCGGCGAGGGGAGUGAAAAAGAACCUGAAACCGUGUACGUACAAGCAGUGGGAGCCUCUUAAUGGGGUGACUGCGUACCUUUUGUAUAAUGGGUCAGCGACUUAUAUUCUGUAGCAAGGUUAACCGAAUAGGGGAGCCGAAGGGAAACCGAGUCUUAACUGGGCGUUAAGUUGCAGGGUAUAGACCCGAAACCCGGUGAUCUAGCCAUGGGCAGGUUGAAGGUUGGGUAACACUAACUGGAGGACCGAACCGACUAAUGUUGAAAAAUUAGCGGAUGACUUGUGGCUGGGGGUGAAAGGCCAAUCAAACCGGGAGAUAGCUGGUUCUCCCCGAAAGCUAUUUAGGUAGCGCCUCGUGAAUUCAUCUCCGGGGGUAGAGCACUGUUUCGGCAAGGGGGUCAUCCCGACUUACCAACCCGAUGCAAACUGCGAAUACCGGAGAAUGUUAUCACGGGAGACACACGGCGGGUGCUAACGUCCGUCGUGAAGAGGGAAACAACCCAGACCGCCAGCUAAGGUCCCAAAGUCAUGGUUAAGUGGGAAACGAUGUGGGAAGGCCCAGACAGCCAGGAUGUUGGCUUAGAAGCAGCCAUCAUUUAAAGAAAGCGUAAUAGCUCACUGGUCGAGUCGGCCUGCGCGGAAGAUGUAACGGGGCUAAACCAUGCACCGAAGCUGCGGCAGCGACGCUUAUGCGUUGUUGGGUAGGGGAGCGUUCUGUAAGCCUGUGAAGGUGUGCUGUGAGGCAUGCUGGAGGUAUCAGAAGUGCGAAUGCUGACAUAAGUAACGAUAAAGCGGGUGAAAAGCCCGCUCGCCGGAAGACCAAGGGUUCCUGUCCAACGUUAAUCGGGGCAGGGUGAGUCGACCCCUAAGGCGAGGCCGAAAGGCGUAGUCGAUGGGAAACAGGUUAAUAUUCCUGUACUUGGUGUUACUGCGAAGGGGGGACGGAGAAGGCUAUGUUGGCCGGG